ensembl:lncRNA
GUAGUCUCCCAUCCAAGUACUAACCAAGCCCAGCCCUGCUUAGCUUCCGAGAUCAGACGAGGUCGGGCGUGCUCAGGGUGGUAUGGCCGUAAGCUGCUGGCCCCAGCACAAUGUCUCAAUUUAUGGAUUCAACUGAUUAGGUGGCAAGUACCUGAAGUUACGAAGACAAUCCUUUAACCAUACCUGCAUGUUUGCAUAAUACCCUAACCCAAAGGCUCAGUUUAGCAUUUAUCUAACAGCACAGGCCCUGGAUUGUUGAAGAUGGCCUCAGGAACCAGCACAGGGCCUGGUGUGUUGUACAUGGCCACAGCUAGCAGCCACAGGCCCUGGUGUGGUGUAAGUGGCCUCAGCCAGCAGCCACAGGCCCUGGUGUGGUGUAAGUGGCCUCAGCCAGAGCCACAGGCCCUGGUGUGGUGUAAGUGGCCUCAGCCAGAGCCACAGGCCCUGGUGUGGUGUAAGUGGCCUCAGCCAGUGCCACAGGCCCUGGUGUGGUGUAAGUGGCCUGAGCAAGAGCCACAGACCCUGGUGUGGUGUAAUUGGCCUCAAUAGCAACUAAUGCCCUGGUGUGGUGUAGGUGGCCUCAGCCAGCAGCCACAGGCCCUGGUGUGGUGUAAGUGGCCUCAGCCACAGCCACAGGCCCUGGUGUGGUGUAAGUGGCCUCAAUAGCAACUAAUGCCCUGGUGUGGUGUAAGUGGCCUCAGCCAGCAGCCACAGGCCCUGGUGUGGUGUAAGUGGCCUCAGCCAGUGCCACAGGCCCUGGUGUGGUGUAAGUGGCCUGAGCAAGAGUCACAGACCCUGGUGUGGUGUAAUUGGCCUCAAUAGCAACUAAUGCCCUGGUGUGGUGUAGGUGGCCUCAGCCAGCAGCCACAGGCCCUGGUGUGGUGUAAGUGGCCUCAAUAGCAACUAAGGCCCUGGUGUGGUGUAAGUGGCCUCAGCCAGCAGCCACAGGCCCUGGUGUGGUGUAAGUCGCCUCAUCCAGGA